rnacentral:lncRNA from 10 species
GCUUCCGGUCCAGGAGACUUUUUCCAAACUUUCUUCCCGGGGGCCAUCCUCUCACCUGUCAUACACAGAAAAGUGAAUUCUUGUUAUCAGAAAGGGGCCCAAUCCAGAUCCCAAGAGAAGGCUCUUGGAUCUCACACAAGAAAGUAUUCCAGUAUUUGUACAGUUGAGCCGAAAUGCCUGUUCUAACAAAGAGAGCCUGGGUGGGACUGCCAAGAUGAAUAGACAUAAUCCUCGAUCUAACCACUUCACAGUUUAUCAUCGGAGUCAAGUUUGCAGAUAAACAAUUGCCAUGCAACUUUCAAGAGACGGGGUGUCAUCCUGUUGCUCAGGCUGGUCUCAAACUCCUGGCCCUAAGUGAUCCUCCUGCCUCAGCCUCUCAAAGUGCUGGGAUUACGGGUGUGAACCUAAUCGCAGAGAAAAUGGUGCCUGAGAUGAGCAAGGUCAGCAGACAAGAAGUGAGGUCAAUGUCAGGUUUCCAUGCCAGCAGCGGGAACUCUGGAUACAGUGGAGAGUCACAGCUGGUCAAACCCUGAACCGCUUGCUCCUUGAAAUGGCCAGAGAGGCCCAUCCCAGAGCCAUCUCAUCAUCUCUCCUCAGACAGGAAACCGAGAAGGAAAACAAUCAGCUCUGUUCUCUCUGGGCCGAGGGAGUGAGCUGUAAUGAGGGAGCACAGGAACGCAUUGGGCGCCCUCAGACCUGAACACACAGUUGAGAAUAACUCAUCCAGGGUUGUUGAAUGGUGGAGGAUCUUCCAAAAUCAGCAGCUAGGAGGUCGAGAACCCUUCAUGCCAUACUAAGAAGUUUCAUGCUAGGCAAAGAAGAGUGACAAGGUAUUUCAACAGGUGAAUGAUAUAUUGUGUUUUUUACAAACUGAAGGUUUGUGGAAACUCUGCUUCAAGCAAGUCUAUUGGUACCAAUUCUCCAACAGCGUGUACUCACUUCUUGUCUCCAUGUCACAUUUUGAUAAUUCUGAGAAAGUUAAGGAAUGGGGCUGGACCAAUUACUCAUCCCAAACCGCUUGAAUUAGGAAUGAUGCAGAAGCAAAAAUUGGAAUACUUUAUAUGAGGUACACAAAGAAGGAUUACCACAGGAAAUCCAGAGAGGCUUUAGAAGACGAGCUUGCGUUGAGAUAGAAGCCGGAAGCCCACUUAGCCAACUGCCUCCAUGGGACUUGGCAUGAGGCAGGCUUAUGACAGUAAAUGCUACACUGCCCUCAGUGAAAAAGAGAAUUUGGCAUUCAUUCUUCUGAACCCGCCAUCCCUCAGCCUUGGCGCCUGGGAAUUCUGCGAAUCGUUGCCUGUGGCAGUGACACUGAUUUGUAUCUGGGUAUGAACUUAAAUGAAAACAUGAAUUGAACUCAUUACUUGAGGAAGGAAACACUGCCAAAUUUAACAGGAUGAAAUUCCAGCAGGGUGUAAGGUUUUAUGGGGCUACAGUGGAAUAUCUCAUAGAAAGGUUUCCAGUUCAUAAAACACUUUCAAAACAUGCUCGGCCCUUUUAAGUUGAAGGGACAUUAUCAUUUCUAUCUAUGGCAUUUCUCUGCAAAUUGAACUCAAAUAUCCUUUGGGCUGACUACACAGAGAACAGAAGAAAGAAGUGGAAGAAACUUGGACUGAAGAUUGCCUCCCUGAAAAGGUUUUCUUCAGGCAGAAUUAGGUGAGAACAAAUGACAUCAGAAAGUAGCAUGUCAGUAUACUGCUGCCAGCUCCAUAUGGUUCAGCUUGUUUUCACAGGUAUUUAAUUAAUUCCACAAACAUAUAUUGAGUAUCAGAUGUGGGAUCCUGUUCAACACAUUUGGGGUACAGUAGUCAAUUAGUCUACUCUCAUGGCACAUACAUGCUGGAAGGAGAGAAAAACAAUAAAUAAAUGAACAAA